GCCGAGGGGCGAAGCGAUGAACCACCGGGCGAGUUGGUCGCCGGUCCGGUGGGGAGCUAGAGGCGAACCCACCGCCUGGAGCA
rnacentral:ncRNA from 14 species